CUNCCUGNGGAUAUUAAACACCAAGACUAACUACUGCAAACCCUUUGCCAAGGAUUUUUUCAUUAAUCAAGAACGAAGGUUAGGGGAACAAAAACGANCAAAUACCGUUGUAGUCUUAACAUUAAACUAUGCCGACAAGGGAUCGGGCAAUCUCACUUUUAUGUGUUGCUCGGCACCUUACAAAAAAUCAAAAUCUUUGGGUUCUGGGGGGAGUAUGGUCCCAAGGUUGAAACUUAAAGGAAUUGACGGAAGGGCACCACCAGGUGUGGAGCCNGCGGUUUAAUUUUACUCAACCCGGGGAAACUCACCCGGUCCAUACAUAACUUGGAUUGACACAUUGAUAGCUCUCUCAAGAUUUUAUGGGCGGGGGUGCAUGGCCGUUCUAAAUUGGNGGAGUGAUUUGUCUGGUUAAUUCCGAUAACGAAAGAGACCUUACCCCGCUAAAUACACAGGGCGGUUUUGGCUGGACCCCUCCUUCUUAAAGGGACUGACAUUGUCUACCUGACGGANCUUAAGGCUAUAACNGGNGUGUGAUGCCCAUAUAUGUUCUGGGCCGCACACACUCUAGCCUCACACAGCCCCAAGUUUAUCACCCUGCACUGAUAAGNAUCGGUAAUCUUGUAAAACUNUGUCUAGCCCGGGAUACACANNGAAAANAAAAAA
rnacentral:rRNA from 1 species